rnacentral:rRNA from 1 species
AGCCCAGAGCCUGAAUCAGUGUGUGUGUUAGUGGAAGCGUCUGGAAAGGCGCGCGAUACAGGGUGACAGCCCCGUACACAAAAAUACACAUAUUGUGAGCUCGAUGAGUAGGGCGGGACACGUGGUAUCCUGUCUGAAUAUGGGGGGACCAUCCUCCAAGGCUAAAUACUCCUGACUGACCGAUAGUGAACCAGUACCGUGAGGGAAAGGCGAAAAGAACCCCGGCGAGGGGAGUGAAAAAGAACCUGAAACCGUGUACGUACAAGCAGUGGGAGCACGCUUAGGCGUGUGACUGCGUACCUUUUGUAUAAUGGGUCAGCGACUUAUAUUCUGUAGCAAGGUUAACCGAAUAGGGGAGCCGAAGGGAAACCGAGUCUUAACUGGGCGUUAAGUUGCAGGGUAUAGACCCGAAACCCGGUGAUCUAGCCAUGGGCAGGUUGAAGGUUGGGUAACACUAACUGGAGGACCGAACCGACUAAUGUUGAAAAAUUAGCGGAUGACUUGUGGCUGGGGGUGAAAGGCCAAUCAAACCGGGAGAUAGCUGGUUCUCCCCGAAAGCUAUUUAGGUAGCGCCUCGUGAAUUCAUCUCCGGGGGUAGAGCACUGUUUCGGCAAGGGGGUCAUCCCGACUUACCAACCCGAUGCAAACUGCGAAUACCGGAGAAUGUUAUCACGGGAGACACACGGCGGGUGCUAACGUCCGUCGUGAAGAGGGAAACAACCCAGACCGCCAGCUAAGGUCCCAAAGUCAUGGUUAAGUGGGAAACGAUGUGGGAAGGCCCAGACAGCCAGGAUGUUGGCUUAGAAGCAGCCAUCAUUUAAAGAAAGCGUAAUAGCUCACUGGUCGAGUCGGCCUGCGCGGAAGAUGUAACGGGGCUAAACCAUGCACCGAAGCUGCGGCAGCGACGCUUAUGCGUUGUUGGGUAGGGGAGCGUUCUGUAAGCCUGCGAAGGUGUGCUGUGAGGCAUGCUGGAGGUAUCAGAAGUGCGAAUGCUGACAUAAGUAACGAUAAAGCGGGUGAAAAGCCCGCUCGCCGGAAGACCAAGGGUUCCUGUCCAACGUUAAUCGGGGCAGGGUGAGUCGACCCCUAAGGCGAGGCCGAAAGGCGUAGUCGAUGGGAAACAGGUUAAUAUUCCUGUACUUGGUGUUACUGCGAAGGGGGGACGGAGAAGGCUAUGUUGGCCGGGCGACGGUUGUCCCGGUUUAAGCGUGUAGGCUGGUUUUCCAGGCAAAUCCGGAAAAUCAAGGCUGAGGCGUGAUGACGAGGCACUACGGUGCUGAAGCAACAAAUGCCCUGCUUCCAGGAAAAGCCUCUAAGCAUCAGGUAACAUCAAAUCGUACCCCAAACCGACACAGGUGGUCAGGUAGAGAAUACCAAGGCGCUUGAGAGAACUCGGGUGAAGGAACUAGGCAAAAUGGUGCCGUAACUUCGGGAGAAGGCACGCUGAUAUGUAGGUGAAGUCCCUUGCGGAUGGAGCUGAAAUCAGUCGAAGAUACCAGCUGGCUGCAACUGUUUAUUAAAAACACAGCACUGUGCAAACACGAAAGUGGACGUAUACGGUGUGACGCCUGCCCGGUGCCGGAAGGUUAAUUGAUGGGGUCAGCGCAAGCGAAGCUCUUGAUCGAAGCCCCGGUAAACGGCGGCCGUAACUAUAACGGUCCUAAGGUAGCGAAAUUCCUUGUCGGGUAAGUUCCGACCUGCACGAAUGGCGUAAUGAUGGCCAGGCUGUCUCCACCCGAGACUCAGUGAAAUUGAACUCGCUGUGAAGAUGCAGUGUACCCGCGGCAAGACGGAAAGACCCCGUGAACCUUUACUAUAGCUUGACACUGAACAUUGAGCCUUGAUGUGUAGGAUAGGUGGGAGGCUUUGAAGUGUGGACGCCAGUCUGCAUGGAGCCGGCCUUGAAAUACCACCCUUUAAUGUUUGAUGUUCUAACGUGGACCCGUGAUCCGGGUUGCGGACAGUGUCUGGUGGGUAGUUUGACUGGGGCGGUCUCCUCCUAAAGAGUAACGGAGGAGCACGAAGGUUGGCUAAUCCUGGUCGGACAUCAGGAGGUUAGUGCAAUGGCAUAAGCCAGCUUGACUGCGAGCGUGACGGCGCGAGCAGGUGCGAAAGCAGGUCAUAGUGAUCCGGUGGUUCUGAAUGGAAGGGCCAUCGCUCAACGGAUAAAAGGUACUCCGGGGAUAACAGGCUGAUACCGCCCAAGAGUUCAUAUCGACGGCGGUGUUUGGCACCUCGAUGUCGGCUCAUCACAUCCUGGGGCUGAAGUAGGUCCCAAGGGUAUGGCUGUUCGCCAUUUAAAGUGGUACGCGAGCUGGGUUUAGAACGUCGUGAGACAGUUCGGUCCCUAUCUGCCGUGGGCGCUGGAGAACUGAGGGGGGCUGCUCCUAGUACGAGAGGACCGGAGUGGACGCAUCACUGGUGUUCGGGUUGUCAUGCCAAUGGCACUGCCCGGUAGCUAAAUGCGGAAGAGAUAAGUGCUGAAAGCAUCUAAGCACGAAACUUGCCCCGAGAUGAGUUCUCCCUGACCCUUUAAGGGUCCUGAAGGAACGUUGAAGACGACGACGUUGAUAGGCCGGGUGUGUAAGCGCAGCGAUGCGUUGAGCUAACCGGUACUAAUGAACCGUGAGGCUUAACCUUACAACGCCGAAG